rnacentral:rRNA from 1 species
UAAGGUCACGGCAAUACGAGCCGUUUAUAAUUAUGAUAGGUGUUAAGUGUAAGUACAGUAAUGUAUGCAGUUGAGGCAUCCUAAUAGACUGAGAGAUUUUAAC